rnacentral:lncRNA from 1 species
GAGGCAUCACGUUAAUCUUCCGAACACCUAAACCCUAAAAUCCUAAAACCCAAAAAUAAUUUCAUUCAAAAAAAACCCAAAAAUAAGCAAAAUCUAAAACUCUUUAGUCCCGGUCCGUGUAACGAGCCGGGACUAAAGGGCCUGCCCCUGAGGCGCUACGAGGCGCCCACGUGGAGCAUCUUUAGUCCCGGCUUGUAACAGGGCCGGGACUAAAGGUUAGGCGUCCCGGUUGGUGAACCGGGACUAAAGUCCCUUACGGGCCGGGGCUAAAGGCCCCGUCUCCACUAGUGUCUGGCAGUAUAUGGACUUGUGGUAACCUUUGUUAGGACUUAGGUGCUCCAUCCCUGUUCCUCACCUCUCACCUGAUUUGGACGCCCACCGGUUUGGUCUGGCCUAGUAUCUUUUUCCAGUCAUUUCUCGGUUAGAUGCGGAAGAUUUGCCGCAUGAUCUAGCGAUUGCAUCUGACGUUUUUCUUGACUGGUGAUUAAAGUUGGUCGUUAAGGUCUUGUUGAACGUACGUGUGGACCAAAAUAUGUUUUUAUCUUUGUGACAAGUACAAUGACCGCUGUUGUAUUUAUCUCUCAUCUCAACCCUCAACUAAAUUCUAUGUGAAUUCCUAGUAUCUCUUGCAAUCCCUGGUAUCCAUCAAUUGGUUCUGUCGCGCUCCUAAGUUCUCCUUCCCUCUCCGAUCAUAUAUCUCUUUAGUCGAAUCAUGGCAAGGUCAUGUCAAGACCCAAAUGUUUUUUCAAAAAGAUAGUAUAAACACACACACUCACAUCCAUGAACGCACAUACGCACGUUCUAUUCCUAUAAGCACAUUUGAAAGGCUGAGCCGGCGGAUGUUAAGAUUGACAAAGUCACAACAAACGUCACAUCACUCUAUGGACAGAAACAUUGCCUCCCAUUGAGAGUACAUUUCGCGUUUAUCACACACCAAAGCAUCAACAUUUAAUUCCUUGUGUUAGGAAUUAAUUAAAUGUAUUAAUUAAUGGAAUAAUCCAUGCGUUGCCGGUUGCCUUGAUUUAGCAACCGUUCCUUGUAACCGACUCUGUACUCGGGGUAUAAAUACCCCGCAUCUUCAAUCAAUAAUAAUUGUUCCAUCAUUCUGUCACUUUCACUGUUUUACACGUUAUCAGCACUCGCUCUGCCGAGAGCGACAGAGAGCCACGAGAAAGGUCAGAAUGGCAGGAAGAGAGUUGUCUGCACUUGCUUUUGCUUUCGCACGCUUCCUGCAGAAAGAGAACACCCGCUUCCCUCGCACUCAGCGCCACCGCAUUGCACGUCGCCAUCAGGGUCUUGGUGCAAGGAAUGGCCCUCAUCGCCGUUCCUUCACCAGGAACCACCGCCAGAACCGGAGUGGCCCUCAUCGCCGCUUCUUCGCCGGGAACCACCGCCAGAACCACCGCCGUGGGUAUGCACGUCGAGGCAACCAACCACUUCGUGGGCGUGCACCAACGGUGCACCAGGCUGGAUCCUCGACUCCGGCCACCGCUCCACUACAACAGGCUGGUGUUGUAGAUAUGCCCUAGAGGCAAUAAUAAAUUAGUUAUUAUUAUAUUUCUUAGNNNNNNNNNNNNNNNNNNNNNNNNNNNNNNNNNNNNNNNNNNNNNNNNNNNNNNNNNNNNNNNNNNNNNNNNNNNNNNNNNNNNNNNNNNNNNNNNNNNNUGGAUAAUAAACUAUUAUCUUGAUACAGGAAUUAUAAUAAUAACUAUGCAUUUAUUAUUGCCUCUAGGGCAUAAUUCCAACAGUGCCUUCUAGUUGCACUGUCUGUACCCAGACAGUUUAUAACUCUUCCGCUGGCUUGUAUUUGUAUGACUGCUAUUAUGGGUCGAGAGACCUUAAUGUGUAAUAUUAUGUGUGUGGCUCUUNNNNNNNNNNNNNNNNNNNNNNNNNNNNNCUUCCGAGCCUCUUAAAUAAAGCUUGUAUGUUUAUGGUUAUGUUGUGAUGCCAUCGAUGUAUCUAUACAUAUCGGUAUGCCAUGCGUACGUGUGUCUUACUUGGUAUGUAUGGGGUUCGAAUACCUAGUCGUGAACUUUAGUAGCACUCCUUACAAGGAAAUGCCCCUUUGUGAUCCAACGAGCCUUGGUAGUUCGCUACUGCUCCGGACACAUUGGUUGACCGGCAUGUGUCCUUCUUAGCUGCUGUGUCUGUCCCCUUUGGGGAAAUUUCACGCGAUGUAAUGGAGUCCUUGUAGCUUGCUACGACUCGUCUACAUUCGCCGAUGACCGACACCUGCUUUGUUGGGUCAUGUAUGCCUGUCCUUGUGCGGUACUGCCACUUUGGUUUAUGACUAGACAUGUCGAUCCGGGUUCUUUGACAUUGGAUUGCUAGCGACACUAUCGCAUACGUGAGUCAAAAGACGCAAACGGUCCCGGCUAAGGUAAGGCUGCAGCCGUGGAGUUAACCGUGCGUGAGACCACAAAGGGAUGCGAUGUGUUACAGGCUAGAUUCCUAUGGCUUAGGAUCGAGGUCCCGACACUUUAAAAUAUCCAUUUGUACUUAACGGUCUUACGACCAUCAAGUAGUUCUUCCAAAGUCUACACUUUGUUUUCAUACAUGGAUCCUCUCUCGGAUUUCAUGGCCUCCAGCCAUUUAUCGGAAUUCGAGCCCACCAUCGCUUCUCCAUAGCUCGUAGGUUCAUUGUUGUUCAACAACAUGACCUCCAAGACAGGGUCACCGUACCACUCUGUAGCAGUACGCGACCUUGUCGACCUACGAGGUUUGUAGUAGCUUGAUCAGAAGCUUAAUGAUCACAAUCAUUAGUUUCCACUUCAAUUUGCGUAGGCGCCACAUGAACAAAUUCCUGCGCCCUGCUACACACUAGUUGAAGUGAUGGUUCAAUAACCUCAUCAAGUUCCACCAUCCUCCCACUCAGUUCUUUCGAGAGAAACUUUUCCUCGAGAAAGGACCCGUUUCUAGAAACAAACACUUUGCUUCCGGAUCUGAGAUAGGAGGUAUACCCAACUAUUUUGGGUGUCCUAUGAAGAUGCGUUUAUCCGCUCUGGGUUCGAGCUUAUCAUGCUGAAACUUUUCCACAUGAGCAUCGCAGCCCCAAACUUUUAAGAAACGACAGCUUAGGUUUCUCCAAACCAUAGUUCAUACGGUGUCAUCUCAACGGAAUUACGUGGUACCCUAUUUAAAGUGAAUGUGGUUGUCUCUAAUGCCUAACCCAAAACGAUAGUGGUAUUUCGAUAAGAGACAUCAUAGUAUGCACCAUAUCAAAUAGGGCGCGGCUAUGACAUUCAGACAAACCAUCACACUAUGGUGUUCUAGGUGGCAUGAACUGCAAAACAAUUUCCACAUUGUCUUAACCGUGUACCAAAACUCGCAGCUCAGAUAUUCAUCUCUAUGAUCAUAUCGUAGACAGUUUAUCCUCUUGUCACGAUGAUCUUCACUCUGGAAUAGCUUUGAACUUUUCAAUAUUUCAGACUUGUGAUUCAUCAAGUAAAUACUCAUGUAUCUACUCAAAUCAUCAGUGAAGUGAGAACAUAACGAUAUCCACUGCGUGCCUUAGCACUCAUUGGACUGCACAUAUCAAAAAUCUAUUGCAUCCAACAAGUUACUUUCUUGUUCCAUGUGGUAUGAUUUUGCAUGUCUCAAGUGAGUUAAAAUCAAGUGAUUCCAAACGAUCCAUCUGCAUGGAGUUUCUUCAUGCGUUUAUACCAACAGGUAUGGUUUCCAUGUCUCAAACGUUUCAAAAAUGAGUGAGUACAAAGAUCCAUAAGCAUGGAGUUUCUUCAUGCAUUUUACACCAACAUGACUCAAGCGGCAGUGCCACAAGUAAGUGGUUCUAUCAUUAUUACUUUGUAUCUUUUGGCACCACUAUUAUGAAUAUGUGUAACACUACGAUCGAGAUUCAAUAAAUCAUUGAAGGUAAUUAUUCAAGAAAAUAGAAUAACCAUUAUUCUCUUUAAAUGAAUAAUCGUAUUGCAAUAAACACGAUCCAAUCAUGUUCAUGCUCAAAGCAAACACCAAAUAACAAUUAUUUAGGUUUAACACCAAUCCCGAUGGUAGAGGGAGCGUGCGAUGUUUUGAUCACAUCAACCUUGGAAACACUUUCAACACGUAUCGUCACCUCGCCUUUAGCUAGUCUCCGUUUAUUUCGUAGCUUUUAUUUCGAGUUACCAAUCACUUAGCAACCGAACCGGUAUCUAAUACCCUCGUGCUACUAGGAGUACUAGUAAAGUACACAUCAAUAUCAUGUAUAUCAAAUAUACUUCUGUUGACUUCGCCAGCCUACUCAUCUACCAAGUAUAUAGGGUAGCUCCGCCUCAGUGACCGUUCACCUCAUAACAAAAGCACUUAAUCUCGGGUUUGGGUUCAAUCUUGGGUUUCUUCAUUAGAGCAGCAACUGGUUUGUCGUUUCAUGAAGUAUCUCUUCUAGCCCUUGCCCUUCUUGAAACUAGUGGUUUUACUAACCAUCAACAAUUGAUGCUCCUUCUUGAUUUCUACUUUCGUAGUGUCAAACAUUGUGAAUCGCUCAAGGAUCAUCAUAUAUAUCCUUGAUAUGUUAUAGUUCAUCACGAAGCUCUAGCAGCUUGGUGGCAGUGACUUUGGAGAACCAUCACUAUCUCAUCUGGAAGAUUAACUCCCACUUGAUUCAAGCGAUUGUUAUACUGAGCACAUGCUCAACGAUUGAGCUUUUCUCCUUUACUUUGUAGACAAAGAAUCUUGUUGGAGGUCUCAUACCUUUCAACAAGGGCACGAGCAUGAAAUCUCAAUUUCAUAUCUUAGAACAUCUUUUAUGUUCCGUGACGUUUCAAAAUGUCUUCGGCGUCUUGCAUCUAAGCCAUUAAGUAUUACGCACUGAACUAUCACGUAGUCAUGAAAAAUGUGUAUGUCAGAUGUUCGCAACAUCCACAGACGACGCUUGAGGUGCAGCACACCGAGUGGUGCAUUAAGGACAUAAGCCUUCUACGCAGCAAUGAGGACAAUCCUCAGUUUUACGUACUCAGUCCGCAAAGUUACUACUAUCAUCUUUCAACUAAAUUUUCUCUAGGAACAUAUAAAAAAACAGUAGAGCUAUAGCGCAAGCUACAUCAUAAUUCGCAAAGACCUUUUGACCAUGCUCAUGAUAAUUAGUUCAAUUAAUCAUAUUACUUAAGAACUCCCACUCAAAAAAUACAUCCCUCUAGUCAUUUCAGUGGUGCAUGAUCCAAAUCCACUAACCCAAGUCCGAUCAUCACGUGAGUUGCGUAUAGUUUCAGUGGUAAACAUCUCUAUGCUAAUCAUAUCAACUAUAUGAUUCAUGCUCGACCUUUCGGUCUCUUGUGUUCCGAGGCCAUGUCUGCACAUGCUAAGCUCGUCAAGUUUAACCCGAGUGUUCCGCGUGUGCAACUGUUUUGCACCCGUUGUAUGCGAACGUUGAGUCUAUCACACCCGAUCAUCACGUGGUGUCUCGAAACGACGAACUGUCGCAACGGUGCAUAGUCGGGGAGAACACAAUUUUAUCUUGAAAUUUUAGUGAAGGAUCACGUUAUAAUGCUACCAUCGUUCUAAGAAAGAUAAGGUGCAUAAAAGGAUUAACAGCACAUGCAAUUCAUAAGUGACAUGAUAUGGCCAUGAUCUUGUGCUUCUUGAUCUCCAUCACCAAAGCACCGACAUGAUCUUCAUCGUCACCGGCACCACACCAUGAUCUCCACCAUCGUGCCGCCAUCGAGGUUGUCGUGCUAUAUACGCUAUCACUACUAAAGCUACAACCUAGCGAUAUAGUAAACGCAUAUGCAAACACAAACGUUAGUUUAAAGACAACCUUAUGGAUCCUGCCAGUUGCCGUAGCAUCGACGUGCAAGUCGAUAUUUAACUAUUACAAAAUGAUCAUCUCAUACAUCCAAUAUAUCACAUCAUGUCUUUGGCCAUAUCACAUCACAUGCAUACCCUGCAAAAACAAGUUAGACAUCCUCUAAUUUGUUGUUGCAUGUUUUACGUGGCUCCUAUGGGUAUCUAGUAUGAUCGCAUCUUACUUACGCAUAGCCACAACGGUAAUAUGCAAAUUGCUAUUUAACCUUUCUCCAAGGACCGCCUCGGUCAAAUCCGAUUCAACUAAAGUUGAAGAAACAGACACCCGCCAGUCAUCUUUAUGCAACAAGUUGCAUGUUAGUCGAUGAAACCGGUCUCUUGUAAGCGUACGAUUAAGGUUGGUUUGGGCCGCUUCAAUCCAACAAUACCGCCGAAUCGAGAAAAUACUAAGGAGGGCAGCAAAUUGAACAUCAAUGCCCACAAAAACUUGUUUGUUCUACUCGAGAUUACAUCUACGCAUGAACCUAGCUCAUGAUGCCACUAUUGGGGAACGUUUCAUGGGAAACUAAAAAAUUCCUACACACACGAAGACCUAUCAUGGUGAUGAUCAUCUACGAGAGGGAGAUCGGGUCCACAUACCCUUGUAGAUCGCUAAGUGGAAAUGUUAAGAAACGUGUAUGAUGUAGUGGUAUGUCUUCACGAUCCGUCCCACGAACCGUCUCACGAUCCGUCCCGAUCAAGUGUUGAACGGACGGCACCUCCGCGUUCCGCACACGUACAGCUCGAUGACGAUCUCCGCCUUCUUGAUCCAGCAAGAGGGGCGGAGAGGUAGAUGAGUUCUCCAGCAUGGCGAUGUGGUGGUGGUGUUGGUGGUGCUAUUCCAGCAGGGCUUCGCCUAAGCACCGCUGAAACUAGAGGAGAAACAGAUCUAGAGAGAGAGGGCAGCACGUGGCUGUUUCUGUUGUCCAAAAACCCUCAAAACCCUUAGUAUAUAUAGGAGGAGAGGAGGGAGAGGGUUGCGCCCUAGAGCAACCUUCUCUUCCCUUGCGCAAGGGAGAGGAGGAGGAGUCCUACUCCAAUCCUAUUUGGAGUAGGAUUCCUCCUUCCCACUUGGAAACUCUUUCCACCUUGUGUUUUUCCUUCUCAAACCUUAUGGGUCUUAGUGGGAACUUAUUCGAGCCCACUAGGGGAUGGUUUAUCUCUUGCCACAGCCCAUAAGGCCUCUUGGGGCGUGACACCCCUCCCGAUGGUCCCCGGCACACCUCCCGGCACUCCCGGUACACUACCGAUGAGCCCGAAACUUUUCCCGUGACCAAAACAGGACUCCCUAUAUAUCAAUCUUCAUUUCCGGACCAUUCUGGAAACCUUCGUGAUGUACGGGAUCUCAUCCGGCACUCUGAACAACCUUCGGUCACCAACACAUAUAACUUAACUAUACCGAAACAUCACCGAACUUUAAGUGUGUAGACCCUGCGGGUUCGAGAACUAUGUAGACAUGACCUGAGACACUCUUCGGUCAAUAACCAACGGCGGGACCUCGAUGUUCAUAUUGGCUCCUACAUAUUCUACGAAUAUCUCUAUCGGUUGAACCUCUAUGUCAAGGAUUAAUAUAAUCCCGUAUACUAUUCCCUUUGUCCUUCGGUAUGUUACUUGCCCGAGAUUCGAUCGUUGGUAUCUCCAUACCGAGUUCAAUCUCGUUACCGGCAAGUCUCUUUACUCGUUCCAUAAUACAAGAUCUCGUGACUAACUCCUUAGUCAUAUUGCUUGCAAGGCUUGUUGUGAUGUUGUAUUACCGAGUGGGCCCCCUAGAUACCACUCCGUCACAUGGAGUGACAAAUCACAGUCUUGAUCCAUGCCAACCUAAUAGACACCUUUGGAGAUACGUGUAGAGCACCUUUAUGGUCACCCAGUUAUGUUGUGACGUUUGAUACACACAAGGCAUUCCUCCGGUGUCCGGGAGUUGUGAUACGUCCAUUUUGCAUCAUGUUUUCAUGUUGAUAUUUAUUGCUUCUUGGGAUGUUAUAUUACUUGUGGUGCCAUAUUUAUGCCUUUUCGCUCUUAUUUUGCAAGGAUUAUUUGAAGAGGGAGAAUUCAGGCAGCUGGAAUUCUGGACUAGAAAAGGAGCAAAUCCUAGUCCACUAUUCUGCACAUCUCCAAAUGCCCUGAAAAUUUUCGUGGAUUUUUUCUAGAAUAUAUUAAAAAUACUGGGCGAAAGAACUACCAGAGGGGGCCACCAGGGCCCCACAAGCUUGCCCACCGCCGCCGCCCCCCUGGUGGCGCACGGCAGGCUUGUGGGCAGCCCACUGGCCCACUAGCCCCCCUCUUUUGCUAUAUGAUGCGUCCUGACCUGGAGAAAAUCAUACAGGAGCUUUUUCGUGGUUUCCCCGCCGCCACAGGGCGGAACUUGAGUAGAUCCAAUCUAGAGCUCCGGCAGGACGAUCUUGUCGGGGAAAUUUCCCUCCCGGAGGGGGGAAUCAUCACCAUCUUCAUCACCAACACUCCUCUCAGCGGAGGGGAGGCAUCUUCAUCAACAUCUUCAUCGGCACCAUCUCUUCUCCAAUCCCUAGUUCAUCUCUUGUAACCAAUCUUCGUCUCGCAACUCAGAUUAGUACUUGUAAGGUUGCUAGUAGUGUUGAUUACUCUUUGUAGUUGAUGCUUGUUGGAUUACUUGGUGGAAGAGUUUAUGUUCAGAUCCUUGAUGCUAUUCAUUACACCUCUGGUCAUGAUUAUGAUUAUAUCUUGUGAGUAGUUACUUUUGUUCCUAAGGACAUGGAAUAAGUCAUGCUGAUAAUAGUCAUGUGAAUUUGAUAUUCGUUCAGUAUUUUGAUAUGAUGUAUGUUGUUUUUCCUCUAGUGGUGUUAUGUGAACGUGGACUACAUAACACUUCACCAUAUUUGAGCCUAGAGGAAGGCAUUGUGAAGUAGUAAGUAGAUGAUGGGUUGCUGGAGUGACAGAAGCUUAAACCCCAGUUUAUGCGUUGCUUCGUGAGGGGAUGAUUUGGAUCCACUAGUUUAAUGCUAUGGUUAGACUUUGUCUUAAUUCUUCUUUUGUAGUUGCGGAUGCUUGCUAGAGAGGUUAAUCAUAAGUGGGAUGCUUGUCCAAGUAAGGUCAGUACCCAAGCGCCGGUCCACCCACAUAUCAAACUAUCAAAGUAACGAACGCGAAUCAUAUGAACAUGAUGAAACUAGCAUGACAGAAAUUCUCAUGUGUCCUCGGGAGCAUUUUUCCUCCUAUAUGACUUUGUUCAGGCUUGUCCCUUGCUACAAAAGGGAUUGGGCCACUUGCUGCACCGUUGCUACUACUUGUUAUUUGUUACUCUUUGCUUGCUACGUUUCACCUCGCUACACAAUCACUUGUUACCGCUACUUUCAGUGCUUGCAGUUAUUACCUUGCUGAAAUUCGUUUAUCACAGCCUUCUGCUCCUCGUUGGGUUCGACAAUCUUACUUAUAGAAAGGACUAUGAUUGAUCCCCUAUACUUGUGUUGGAAAUAUGCCCUAGAGGCAAUAAUAAAUUAGUUAUUAUUAUAUUUCUUUGUUCAUGAUAAUCGUUUCUUAUCCAUGCUAUAAUUGUAUUGAUUGGAAACACAGUGCAUGUGUGGAUACACAGACAAAACACAGUCCCUAGUAAGCCUCUAGUUGACUAGCUCGUUGAUCAAAGAUGGUCAAGGUUUCCUGACCAUAGGCAAGUGUUGUCACUUGAUAACGGGAUCACAUCAUUAGGAGAAUCAUGUGAUGGACUAGACCCAAACUAAUAAGACGUAGGAUGUUGAUCGUGUCAUUUUGUUGCUAUUGUUUUCUGCGUCUCAAGUAUUUGUUCCUAUGACCAUGAGAUCAUAUAACUCACUGACACCGGAGGAAUGCUUUGUGUGUAUCAAACGUUGCAACGUAACUGGGUGACUAUAAAGAUGCUCUAUAGGUAUCUCCGAAGGUGUUCGUUGAGAUAGUAUGGAUCGAGACUGGGAUUUGUCACUCCGUGUGACGGAGAGGUAUCUCGGGGCCCACUCGGUAAUACAACAUCACNNNNNNNNNNNNNNNNNNNNNNNNNNNNNNNNNNNNNNNNNNNNNNNNNNNNNNNNNNNNNNNNNNNNNNNNNNNNNNNNNNNNNNNNNNNNNNNNNNNNNNNNNNNNNNNNNNNGGUAAACGAGAUUGAAAUAGGUAUGCGGAUACUGACGAUCGAAUCUCGGGCAAGUAACAUACCGAAGUACAAAGGGAAUGACAUACGGGAUUAUAUGAAUCCUUGGCACCGAGGUUCAAACGAUAAGAUCUUCGUAGAAUAUGUAGGAUCCAAUAUGGGCAUCCAAGUCCCGCUAUUGGAUAUUGACCGAGGAGUCACUCGGGUCAUGUCUACAUAGUUCUCGAACCCGCAGGGUCUGUACACUUAAGGUUCGACGUUGUUUUAUGCGUAUUUGAGUUAUAUGGUUGGUUACCGAAUGUUGUUCGGAGUCCCGGAUGAGAUCACGGACAUCACGAGGGUUUCCGGAAUGGUCCGGAAACAAAGAUUGAUAUAUAGGAUGACCUCAUUUGAUUACCGGAAGGUUUUCGGAGUUACCGGGAAUAUACCGGGAAUGACGAAUGGGUUCCUCGGAAUGUACCAGGAAUGACGAAUGGGUUCCGGGUGUUCACCGGGGGGGCAACCCACCCCGGGGAAGCCCAUAGGCCUUGGGGGUGGCGCACCAGCCCUUAGUGGGCUGGUGGGACAGCCCAAUAAGGCCCUAUGCGCCAUAGGAAGAAAAUCAAAGAGAAAAAGGAAAAAAGAAAAGGGGAGGUGAGAAAAAGGGGAAGGACUCCACCUUCCAAACCUAGUUGGAUUCGGUUUGGAAGGGGAGGACUCCCCCCCUUGGCUCGACCGACCCCCAAGGCAAGGCCCCCCUCUCCCACCUAUAUAUACGGAGGUUUUAGGGUUGAUUUGAGACAACUUUGCCACGGCAGCCCGACCACAUACCACCAUGGUUUUACCUCUAGAUCGCGUUUCUGCGGAGCUCGGGUGGAGCCCUGCUGAGAUUAGAUCACCACCAAACUCCGGAGCGCCGUCAUGCUGCCCGAGAACUCAUCUACCUCUCCGUCUCUCUUGCUGGAUCAAGAAGGCCGAGAUCAUCGUCGAGCUGUACGUGUGCUGAACGCGGAGGUGCCGUCCGUUCGGCACUAGAUCGUGGGACGGAUCGCGGGACGGUUUGCGGGGCGGAUCGAGGGACGUGAGGACGUUCCACUACAUCAACCGCGUUUCUUAACGCUUCUGCUGUGCGAUCUACAAGGGUACAUAGAUCAAAUAUCCCCUCUCGUAGAUGGACAUCACCAUGAUAGGUCUUCGUGCGCGUAGGAAAAUUUUUGUUUCCCAUGCGACGUUCCCCAACAACUUGUGGGUCAUCAAGACUCUUUUCUGGCGCCGUUGCCGGGGAGUGAAGCGCCUUUGGUAAGUGGAAAUUGGUAAGGAAACAAUUUUAUACUGUGCUGAAAUUUAUUGUCACUUGUCACUAUGGAAACUCUUCCUUUGAGGAGUUUGUUCGGGGUAUCUUCACCAUGAACGGAAGCACGAGGAUUUGCUCCUCAACCUGAGGUACCUACUGAAAAUAUCUUUUAUAAAAUUCCUUUGGGUAUGCUUGAGAAAUUGCUGGCUAAUCCUUUUACAGGAGAUGGAUCUUCACAUCCAGACUUUCAUCUAAUCUAUGUAGAUGAAGUUUGUGGUUUAUUUAAGCUUGCAGGUUUGCCCGAGGAUGAGGUAAAGAAGAAACUCUUUCCUUUAUCUUUGAAGGAUAAGGCAUUGACAUGGUAUAGGCUAUGUGAUGAUACUGGAUCAUGCAGCUACAAUCGGUUGAAAUUGGAAUUUCAUCAAAAGUUCUAUCCCAUGCAUUUAGUAUAUCAUGAUCGGAACUUUAUUUAUAACUUUUGGCCUCGUGAUAGGGAAAGCAUAGCUCAAGCUUGGGGGAGGCUUAAAUCAAUGCUAUAUUCAUGCCCCAAUCAUGAGCUCUCGAGAGAAAUCAACACUCAAAACAUUUAUGCUCGGAUUUCUCAUGAAGAUCGUACCAUGCUUGAUACUUCUUGUGCCGGUUCUUUUAUGAAGAAGAAUAUUGAUCACAAGUGGAAUUUAUUGGAGAGAAUCAAACGCAACUCUGGAGAUUGGGAGCUGGAGGAAGGUAAGGACUCAGGUAUGAAUUUCUAUUUUGAUUGCGUUAAAUCUUUUGUUGAGACAAACACUUCUAGAGAGCGCUAAGUAUGGACUUGACUCUGAGAUAGUAGCUUCUCUUUGUAAAUCUUUUGCUGCUCAUGUUGAUCUUCCCAAAGAGAAGUGGUUUAAAUAUCAUCCUCCUGUAGAAAGCAACAUAGCCAAAACCAAUCUAGUUGAGGAGAAAAUCAUAGCUUUUAGUGAUCCUGUUGUUCCUUGUGCUUACACUGAGAAACCACCAUACCCUGCUAGGAUGAAGGAUUAUUCUAAAGCUCCAACUGUGAUACGUAGGGGUUACAUUAGACCACUUGCACCCCCUGAAGAGAUUAGAGUUGAACCUAGUGUUGCUAUUAUCAAAGAUCUCUUAGCCAAAGAGAUAGAUGGGCAUGUUAUCAAAUUCUGUGAGGACUCCGCUAGAAUUGCUAAACCUCACGCGAAAGACAAGCACGGACCUGUAGUUGGCCUGCCCGUUGUUUCUGUUAAGAUAGGAGAUCACUGUUACCAUGGUUUAUGUGAUAUGGGAGCUAGUGUUAGUGCAAUACCCCGUUCUCUAUAUGAUGAAAUCAAAGAUGAGAUUGCACCAGCUGAGAUAGAACCCAUUGAUGUCACUAUCACGCUAGCUAAUAGAGACACUAUAUGCCCUUUGGGAAUUGUGAGAGAUGUAGAAGUCCUGUGUGGUAAGACGAAGUAUCCUACUGAUUUCCUCGUCCUUGGUACUACACAAGAUAGCUUUUGUCCCAUCAUAUUCGGUAGACCCUUUCUCAACACUAUCAAUGCUCACAUUGAUUGCAUUAAGCAGACUGUCAUAGUAAGUUUCGAGGGUGUGUCUCAUGAAUUUAACUUCUCCAAGUUUGGAAGACAACCCCAUGAAAGAGAUUCAUCUGGUAGGGAUGAAAUCAUUGCUCUUUCCUCUAUUGCCAUACCUCCUACGAAUCCUUUAGAGCAAUAUCUGCUUGAGCAUGAAAAUGAUAUGCAUACGGAGGAGAGAGAUGAGAUAGAUAGAAUUGUCUUAGAACAAUGUCCUAUUCUCAAGAAUAAUCUGCAUGUUGAACUGCUUGGGGAUCCUCCCCCACCAAAGGGUGAUCCUGUGUUCGAGCUUAAACAGUUGCCUGAUACUCUUAAGUAUGCCUAUCUUGAUGAGAAGGAGAUAUAUCCUGUCAUUAUUAGUGCUCUCCUCUCAGAGCGUGAAGAGAAGAAGUUACUAAAAACUCUGAGGAAGCACCGCGCUGCUAUUGGAUAUACUCUUGAUGAUCUUAAGGGUAUUAGUCCUACUCUAUGUCAGCACAAGAUUAAAACCGAUCCUGACUUUAAACCAGUUGCUGAUCAUCAAAGGAGAUUAAAUCCUAAGAUGAAAGAGGUCGUUAGAAAAGAAAUAUUAAAGCUUCUGGAAGCAGGAAUCAUUUAUCCUAUUGCUCAUAGUGAUUGGGUAAGUCCAGUACAUUGCGUACCUAAGAAGGGAGGUAUCACCGUCGUUCCUAAUGAUAAGGAUGAACUAAUCCCACAAAGGAUUAUUACCGGCUAUAGAAUGGUGAUAGACUUCCGGAAACUGAACAAGGCAACCAGGAAAGAUCAUUAUCCUUUGCCGUUCAUCGACCAAAUGCUAGAAAGGCUAUCAAAGCACACACACUUUUGCUUUCUAGACGGUUAUUCAGGUUUCUCGCAAAUACCUGUUGCAUAAUUUGAUCAAGAGAAAACCACCUUCACCUGCCCUUUCGAUACCUUUGCCUAUAGAUGUAUGCCUUUUGGCUUAUGUAAUGCACCUGCCACCUUUCAAAGAUGUAUGAUGGCUAUAUUCUCUGACUUUUGUGAAAAGAUUGUCGAGGUUUUCAUGGAUGACUUCUCCAUUUACGGGUCUUCCUUUGAUGAUUGCCUCAGCAACCUUGAUCGAAUCUUACAGAGAUGCGAAUAAACCAACCUCGUCUUGAAUUGGGAGAAGUGCCACUUUAUGGUUAAUGAAGGUAUCGUCUUAGGACACAAAAUCUCUGAAAGAGGCAUUGAAGUUGAUAAGGCUAAGGUUGAUGCAAUUGAGAAAAUGCCUUGCCCCACAGAUAUCAGAGGUAUACGAAGUUUCCUAGGUCAUGCUGAUUUCUAUAGAAGGUUCAUUAAAGACUUCUCUAAGAUUUCUAGGCCUCUUACCAACCUCUUGCAGAAGGAUGUUCCUUUUGUUUUUGAUGAGGAUUGUGAGGAAGCCUUCGAAAUACUUAAGAAGGCUUUGAUAACCGCACCUAUUGUUCAACCACCUGACUGGAACUUUCCCUUUGAAAUCAUGUGUGACGCUAGUGAUUAUGCUGUUGGUGUUGUUCUAGGACAAAGAGUUGACAAGAAGUUGAAUGUCAUUCACUACGCUAGUAAAACUCUAGACAGUGCCCAAAGGAACUAUGCCACUACGGAGAAGGAAUUUUUAGCACUCGUGUUUGCAUGUGAAAAAAUCAGAUCUAACAUAGUUGACUCCAAGGUCACUAUUCACUCUGAUCAUGCUCCUAUUAAGUACCUUAUGGAGAAGAAGGACGCUAAGCCUAGGCUUAUCAGAUGGGUUCUCCUGCUACAGGAAUUUGAUUUGCACGUCAUUGACCGAAAGGGUGCUGAUAACCCUGUAGCAGAUAACUUGUCUAGGCUAGAGAAUGUCCUUGAUGACCCACUACCAAUUGAUGACAGCUUUCCUGAUGACCAAUUAAAUGUCAUCCGCACUUCACUUAGUGCACCAUGGUAUGCCGAUUAUGCAAACUAUAUCGUAGCCAAAUACAUACCACCCAGUUUCACCUAUCAACAAAAGAAGAAAUUCUUCUUUGAUUUGAGACACUACUUUUGGGAUGAUCCUCACCUUUAUAAGGAAGGAGUAGAUGGUGUUAUUAGACGUUGUGUGCCUGAACAUGAACAGGGACAGAUCCUGCAGAAGUGUCAUUCCGAAGCCUACGGAGGACACCACGCUGGAGAUAGAACUGCCCAUGAGGUAUUGCAAUCAGGUUUCUAUUGGCCCACUCUCUUCAAGGAUGCUCGUAAGUUUGUCUUGUCUUGUGACAAAUGCCCAAGGAUAGGGAACAUCAGUAAGCGUCACAAGAUGCCUAUGAACUAUUCACUUGUCAUUGAACCAUUUGAUGUCUGGGGCUUUGAUUAUAUGGGACCCUUCCCGAGUUCCAGUGGGUACACUCACAUCUUAGUUGUUGUGGAUUACGUUACUAAGUGGGUAGAAGCUAUCCCCACUAAAAAUGCUGAUCACCACAACUCUAUUAAGAUGCUUAAAGAAGUUAUAUUCCCAAGAUUUGGAGUCCCUAGAUACUUGAUGACUGAUGGCGGUUCACACUUCAUUCAUGGUGUUUUCCGCAAGAUGCUAGCUAAGUAUGAUGUCAACCAUAGAGUUGCAUCUCCUUAUCAUCCUCAGUCUAGUGGUCAAUUGGAGUUGAGUAAUAGGGAGAUCAAGUUGAUCUUACAAAAGACCGUCAAUAGAUCCCGAAAGAACUGGUCUAGCAAACUUGACGAUGCACUAUGGGCUUAUAGGACUGCUUAUAAAAAUCCCAUGGGCAUGUCACCGUAUAAAAUGGUUUACGGUAAGGCCUGUCAUUUACCUCUUGAGUUGGAACACAAAGCUUAUUGGGCAAUCAAAGAGCUCAACUUUGAUUUCAAACUUGCCAGUGAGAAGCGGUUGUUUGAUAUCAGCUUGUUGGAUGAAUGGAGAGCCCAGGCAUAUGAGAAUACCACGUCGUCAAGGAAAAGGUUAAGAGAUGGCACGACAAACGAAUACAGAAACGAGAGUUCAAUGUAGGUGAUUAUGUCUUGCUAUACAAUUCUCGUUUGAGAUUCUUUGGAGGCAAGCUUCUCUCUAAAUGGGAAGGUCCCUACGUUGUCGAGGAAGUAUAUCGUUCCGGUGCCAUCAAAAUCAAUAAUACAAGGAAAUUUUCCUAGAGUGGUAAAUGGGCAAAGAAUCAAGCAUUACAUCUCUGGUACUCCCAUAAAUGUUGAGACCAAUAUCAUCAAUGUCAUAACUCCACAGGAGUACAUAAGGGAUGUUUAUCAGCCUGUUUCAGACCUUGAAAACGAAGAUGUAUCUGUUUCGGCAAGAAAUUGGACUCCGAUACUUUUCCAAUAGGAAAUUUCCUCAGUUUUGGAAUUUUUGGAAAAUUAGAAAAAUAAAAAAGCAGUCCGGAGAGCAAACGAGGAAGCCACAAGGGCCCACUCCGCCACCACCCCCUGGUGGCGGUGGGCAAGCUUGUGGGCACCUUGUGUGCCUCCCGGACUCCGUUUUCUUGCAGAGGACUCCUUCUGGCCCAGAAAAAAUCAAUAUAUAGUUGCCCGAAGGUUUUGAUCUUCAUAUCGCGUAGUUUUCCUCUGUUUUCGUUUCGAGCUUGUUUCUGCCGCAGAUCUAGAUCAUCAUGACUUCCCCAAACGCUCCUAAGGACAAGAUCUUGGAGAAGGUCAUCAAUCCCUACCUCACGGAAGUGCUAAAACACCAUCAAUCUAUCAAGAUGAGCGAGGGGAUGUUGCACAUCCGUGAUGUUGAGGGGCCUAAGAAGACCGGAAGCAUGGAGACGAGGCUCGAAGUAGUGGAGCAACAAGUCUUCAUGUGCCAAGGGAUGGUUGAGCGUGGACUCAACGCCAACCACACGAUGAUCACGGAGUUCACUAGCAAUCACAAGAUGGAUGUCAUUGAUAUCGGGAAACACCUCUCCAGACUUUACGAUAGGGUUGACCAACUUCAGGGCCAAAUCUAUGACCUGCAGAAUCAAAACUGUGAGUAUGGGUAUAGAUUUAAAUCAAUAAGGUUGGCUGCAGAUUUGAGGAUUUCGGCUACUCGUUCAUCCUGCCAUGAUGGAGCACCUAUGCCUUGGAAGACGGAGGAUCAGACUACUCCAACAACACCACCAUCAUCACCAAAGGAAGACAACUAAGCAUUGGUAUGGGCAAUCCCCUUGGCUUCUGCCGAGCUUGGGGGAGUUGCCCUGGUAUCAUAUCACCUUUAUAUCUUUUGCUUUUACCUUUGUUUUAGUUCUUUCCCUUUCAGUUUUUAUUUCUUCUUUUAGAGGAAUAAGUCUUUAGUUUUUAGUUUGAGUCUUUUGCUUUUGGUCUCUCCCCCGAUGUAUUCGAGCUUACGAGCUAUAUAAUAAAGAGUGUCUUAGUCAAAGGGCUUUGCUUUGUGCCAUGAUCAAAAGUAUGAAAAGAACGAUAGCAUGAAAGAUCAUGAGACGAUCUUAUGGAAAGUGAUAACUUCACUUAUGACACGUAUGAUGAUUGAAACUUGUCGAGAAUAAAUCAACACAUACCUCAGUCAUUGUUGCAAUUAAUAAGAAGUAAUAAGGAAAGAGAGGUUCACAUAUAAAUAUAUCAUCUUAGACACUUUCUACAAUUGUGAGCACUCACCAAACUAUUACAUGCCUAGGAGUAGAUGUUGGACAAGGAAGACAACAUAAUGAAUUGUGUUUGCUUGGUUCCAAACAAUGUUAUAUGAUUAGAGAUCCCUUAGCAUGUGACGAUUGCUUCCACCUCAUAUUAGCCAAAACUUCCGCACCAAGUAGAGAUACUACUUGUGCAUCCAUAAACCUUCAACCCAGUUUUGCCAUGAGAGUCCACCAUACCUACCUAUGGAUUGAAUAAGAUCCUUCAAGUAAGUUGUCAUCGGUGCAAGCAAUAAAAAUUGCUCUCUAAUAUGUAUGAUCUAUUAGUGUGUGGAAAAUAAGCUUUGUACGAACCUGUGAUGAGGAAGACAUAAAAGCGACAGACUGCAUAAUAAAGUUCUUUGUCACAGGAGGCAAUAUAAAGUGACGUUCCUCCGCACUAAGAGGACACGCAUUCAAACCUCAAAAGUGCAUGACAACCUCUGCUUCCCUCUGCGAAGGGCCUAUCUUGUACCUUUACUUUUACCCUUGUAAGAGUCAUGGUGAUCAUCACCAAUUCCCUUUUUGCCUUCGUCUUGGCUACCGUCACAUGCUUGGAAAAGAUCUAUAUUCAUAUAUCAACUUGGAGUUGAGUACUCAUGCUUUAUUGUUGUUGACUUUACCCUUGAGGUAAACCGUUGGGAGGAAAAACUAUAAGCCCCCAUCUUCCUCUGUGUCGAGCUGAAGCUUUGACACCAUGAGUACCACGUGAGCUAUAAAAAUUGUGGAAAACAAAAGAGAUGAUUGAGUAUGUGGGUUUGCCUUACAAGCUCUUAUUUGACUCUUUCUGAUGUUGUGAUAAAUUGCAAUUGCUUCAAUGAUUAUGGACUAUUGUUGGUUACUUCUCGGUAAGGUUUUUGCUUCAUGCUUUGCUUUGUGAAGGAAUUGUUACUUUCCCAUAAGAAUCUUUAUAUAUAUUGUUGUUCUAUGUGUGAUCAUGAUGCCCUCAUGUCUGUAUUAUGUUUUAUCGACACCUUCGUCCCUCAACAUGUGGACGUGUUUAUGGAACUUGGUUUUCGCUUGAGGACAAGCGAGGUCUAAGCUUGGGGGAGUUGAUACGUCCAUUUUGCAUCAUGUUUUCAUGUUGAUAUUUAUUGCUUCUUGGGAUGUUAUAUUACUUGUGGUGCCAUAUUUAUGCCUUUUCGCUCUUAUUUUGCAAGGAUUAUUUGAAGAGGGAGAAUUCAGGCAGCUGGAAUUCUGGACUAGAAAAGGAGCAAAUCCUAGUCCACUAUUCUGCACAUCUCCAAAUGCCCUGAAAAUUUACGUGGAUUUUUUCUGGAAUAUAUUAAAAAUACUGGGCGAAAGAACUACUGGAGGGGGGCCACCAGGGCCCCACAAGCUUGCCCACCACCACCACCCCCUGGUGGCGCACGGUAGGCUUGUGGGCAGCCCACUAGCCCACUAGCCCCCCUCUUUUGCUAUAUGAUGCGUCCUGACCUGGAAAAAAUCAUACAGGAGCUUUUUCGUGGUUUCGCCGCCACCACGGGGCGGAACUUGAGCAGAUCCAAUCUAGAGCUCUGGCAGGACAAUCCUGCCGGGGAAAUUUCCCUCCCGGAGGGGGGAAUCGUCGCCAUCUUCAUCACCAACACUCCUCUCGUCGGAGGGGAGGCAUCUUCAUCAACAUCUUCAUCAGCACCAUCUCUUCUCCAAUCCCUAGUUCAUCUCUUGUAACCAAUCUUCAUCUCGCAACUCAAAUUGGUACUUGUAAGGUUGCUAGUAGUGUUGAUUACUCUUUGUACUUGAUGCUUGUUGGAUUACUUGGUGGAAGAUUUUAUGUUCAGAUCCUUGAUGCUAUUCAUUACACCUCUGGUCAUGAUUAUGAUUAUGUCUUGUGAGUAGUUACUUUUGUUCCUGAGGACAUGGAAUAAGUCAUGCUGAUAAUAGUCAUGUGAAUUUGAUAUUCGUUCGGUAUUUUGAUAUGAUGUAUGUUGUUUUUCCUCUAGUGGUGUUAUGUGAAUGUCAACUACAUAACACUUCACCAUAUUUGGGUCUAGAGGAAGGCAUUGGAAAGUAGUAAGUAGAUGAUGGGUUGCUGGAGUGACAGAAGCUUGAACCCCAGUUUAUGCGCUACUUCGUGAGGGGUUGAUUUGGAUCCACUAGUUUAAUGCUAUGGUUAGACUUUGUCUUAAUUCUUCUUUUGUAGUUGCGGAUGCUUGCGAGAUAGGUUAAUCAUAAGUGGGAUGCUUGUCCAAGUAAGGGCAGUACCCAAGUGCCGGUCCACCCACAUAUCAAACUAUCAAAGUAACGAAUGCGAAUCAUAUGAACAUGAUGAAACUAGUAUGACAGAAAUUCCCGUGUGUCCUCGGGAGCGUUUUCCUCCUAUAAGACUUUGUUCAGGCUUGUCCCUUGCUACAAAAGGGAUUGGGCCACUUGCUGCACCGUUGCUACUACUUGUUACUUGUUACUCUUUGCUUGCUACGUUUCACCUCGCUACACAAUCACUUGUUACCGCUACUUUCAGUGCUUGCAGUUAUUACCUUGCUGAAAUCCGUUUAUCAGAGCCUUUUGCUCCUCGUUGGGUUCGACACUCUUACUUAUCGAAAUGACUACGAUUGAUCCCCUAUACUUGUGGGUCAUCAAGUUGCGUGAUCACAUGGUCAUAGGAACAGAAACAUUGACAUGCAGAAAAAUAGUAGCAAUAAACUGACACGAUCAUAUGCUACAUUUAUAGUUCGGUUCUUGUCCAUCACAUCAUUCUCCCAAUGAUGUGAUCCCGUCAUCAAGUGACAACACUUGCCUAUGGCCAGGAAACCUUGACCAUCUUUGAUCAACGAGCUAGUCAACUAGAGGCUCACUAGGGACAGUGGGUUGUCUAUGUAUCCACACAUGUAUUUGAGUUUCCAAUCAAUACAAUUCUAGCAUGGAUAAAUAAAUGAUUAUUACGAACAAGGAAAUAUAAUAAUAACCAAUUUAUUAUUGCCUCUAGGGCAUAUUUCCAACAAUUUCUAUGUAAAAGGUGCGGAUAGUACCUCAUUCUCGUCUAUCCCAAGCUGAGGUAUGUCACCGACCCUAUGCUCAUCCAUGCAUACAAAAUUAUCCACUGGAGCCCUGAAUAAUUUUUUAUAGUAUUCAAAGAUAUAUUGUUUGAGAUUCUCAUGUCCCACAAUUGUACCCUCAUCUUGUUCUAGCUGGAUAAUUUUUUUAUUCCUAUGCUUUCCAUUAGCUAUUAGAUGGAAAUGUUGUGUGUUGUCAUCUCCUUGUACCACUUGGAGGACUUUCGCUCUUAGUGCCCACUUCAACUCCUCCUCUCUGAGUAGUUGUUUGAGCUUUAGUUCAGCCUCCAUUUUUCAAUGACCUCUCAUUGUCACCUAAUAACGUUUGUUCGGCUUUUAUGUCUAGUGUGUUUAUAAGUUUAUAAGUUCGACAAGCCUUUGUUUCUUUUUCUUAUAAAUUACACUAUCGUGCUUUUCCCAACCCCUUAAGAAUUGCCUCAGGUGUCUUAUCUUAUUUUGCCACCUGUCAACAUUCGAGUCACCUUCUGUGAAAUAGCCCAUUCUCAAACCCGUCCCUUUCAAACCAUCCCAAUUCGAAAGAAAAAAGGUUUUUAUUUCCCACAUGUGUUGCUUCUCGCGAGUCUACAAACAGUGGGGUAUGAUCAGAGAUAGCUCUUGGUAACUCUCAAACUGUGACGAGAGGGAAUUUCUGCUCCCAUUCCACACUCAUGAGAACCCGGUCCAACUUCUCAAAAGUUGGGUUAGGUAAAGAGUUUGCCCAAGUAAACUUUCUCCCUGAUAGCUCAAUCUCCCACAAAUUAAGGCUCUCGAUGAUUGAAUUAAACAUAAAUGACCAUCUUCCAUCAAAGUUAUCACUGUUUUUCUCAUCCUGCCUCCAGAUUAUAUUAAAAUCGCCCCCUACUAAAAUCGGCAGUCUCUCGUCCCCGCAGAUUCGGACAAGGUCAGCCAAGAAAUCUCUCUUGAACUCAGGCUGGGCCGCCCCAUGCACAUCUACGAGUGCCCAUUGGAACCCGUCAUCUUUGGAGCGAACUCAAAAUUUGACUGCAAAGUCUCCAUACACCACUUUCGUAGUUGUGGUGUCUCGCACCGAACCCCAAGCAAGAUCCCACCUGAUCUUCCUCUUGGAGGUAGACAAUGCCAGUCAAAUUCAGAACCUCCAUACAACGUGUUUAAAAACGAAGCUAUAUAGUUAUCUCUCCCAGUUUCCAUCAAUGCAACGAAAUCCAAUUUGUGCUCAAUAGUUGUUUCAGCUAGGAAUCUUCUUUUAGCCAAGUCUGCUAGACCUCUGCUAUUCCAAAAUGUUCCUUUCAUCGCUCAUCAUGAAAUUUCUUAGCCGUUUUAAAUCUAGCACUACGACGCACAGCUGAAACAGGAUAGACUUUUCUCUUCCAGGUUCUUUUUGGCCUAUCCUGAACCUCCGACCGAUCCACAUAACCGUUGGACUCUUGUGCGUUAGCAUUCGUUUGUGGAGGAGCCUCAUACCCCUCCUGAACGAUAUCAUUUGUGUCUUCAAGCAAAAGGGGGGUGGCACAAGAUCCUCACAUAAACGCUCUAAGGCUCCCAAACCCAAUGCAUUUAUAUCAGAAUCAUUCAUAGGUUUUACGGCUGCAAUUUUUCUGACCAUCUCAAUUGCCCUCUCUGCCUCUAAGUCUAACAUGUCAUUUACCGAUCUAGAUAUCUCCUGGUCUACCAAACGCUAGAAUAAGGCCUAGUAACGGGCCCGACCCAUGCCAUUUUGGCCCAUGACUGCAACCAAACACACCCUUAAGUAACUUCUACAAUAUCCAUCCCCAACUUCCAGAAAUUCUAACACUUAAAAAAUCAAAAUCAAACUAUUGGCAUUUAAAACUUUCAUACAUUUCAUUUCUGAAAAAAAUGGUCUUUUAGAUUUCGAAAUAUCAGUAUUAUAUUUUUUACAAAAUUUAACUUUAAGAAUUUUCAAAAUUAUAAGGAUUCAAAAUUCAAAUGUUUUAGCACUUAAAAAAAUUCAAACUUUAAAAAAAUUGAACUUUCAAAUGUUUUGAAUUUUAAGAAGUGUGAACUUUCAUUUUUUUAUAAAGGAUGGGUUUUAUUUACUCAAAAUAAAGCAUCAAGAGCAUACAAAUACAAUAAGAACACACCCGGCCACUUUAUAACUAGGAUGCACACAACCAACUCAAACUCACACACACAAAAAUACGAUCGGUAAAUAGCAAAGUCAUAUAAGACCAAAGCUAUGUGCGCGGUUGGAAAAAGAAACCAAAGCGACCAUAUUGGCAAUGGACAAACUACAACAAUGACCAUAUCUGCACCAACAAUUUCAUUACACCACACGGACAACGAGGUUCCUCAACAAUGACACCUUCAGAAAGGGAGCGACGCUCAAAUGCCGCUAUCAUCGGAUCCAACCAUCCAAGGUCAGAUGCAAGAUUUUCACUCUGAGAAUCAGUCCAAGCAUGUCCGAGCAAUUCCUUCAAUAAGGUAAUGGCGUAAAAACAUCGCCAUUGCCAGGUACAGCCAACUCGAGUUGGACCUAGGCUUUCACCCGGGAGCUCAAGACCGGGUGCUCGAGAAGCACCACCAUCGAAGUCACUAUGUGUUGUUGCCACUACUUUUCCACAAUCUCAGUAGCUAUAUGCGAUGUGUGACCGCUGAUGCUGCACAACCAUCCCUCUACAUCAAGCCAUCAUCAAUAGUUUCAAUCUCACCGUUGAAGUCAACCAUCGGAUCUCCAAGAUCAAUCAUGAAGACCUUUUGAUGGAUACUACAUCAAUCCGCCGCGAGACCGCCACCGUAGUCAUGGUGGUCACCACACGUUCGUCGUCACGCCCCUAGCAGACCUAAAGGUCCACACCAAGGAACCACGGGUCCACACGCAUGGAGCCAUGGAUGUGUGUGUGGAUCAUGAAACGACCAAUCCAUGGCCAUGGCCAUUAGAUGAGACUAUCCCUGGCUGAUGGCAGGUGUCCAAGCCCUGCCGACAUGGCCACUACACCAUGGGCGCCAUCCCACAUGAAGGAGCCACCAGGCGGAGCAGCGACCACAAGUGAGGCGAGAUCUACACCAGCAAUGGCUGGAUCAUCCAGGUAACUGUCCGCUGGAUCUGUGGUGACAUCGUUGGAGGAAGCACGGGGUAGAGAGUGUGAAUCUGGGUUGGGGGAGAGGGGAAGGUCGGGGAAGAAGAUCCCUGUGGCGGUUGAGUCCCGCCGCCGCUGACAAACUGUCAUCGAUGAUGACGACGAGGAUGGAACAUCGGAGGCGGCCUCGAGUGCUAGGGUUUCUCGCCCCCGGUGUCGCCCUGGAGCAACACGGGAGGCCGAUGGCGAUUUCAUAGGAGAGAGAGAGAGAAGGUUGAGAAAUAGAAUCACAUGGUUGGGCAUGUGAGGAAAGAGAGAGAUGGAAAGAAGCACAUGGAUGAGGCCCCCUCGUCCUAUCUACCACAUGGUAACCUGACACAGUCACAUGCAAUGCUUGCGGCAAUGACCAUGGGCACAGUUCCCACAAGAGAGCAUUCUUAGAGUAAUAGCGAGUCUCAUCCUCAUGUUGGAUGCCUAUAUAAAGCUUCUCCUUUCCAACAUUCAUCAUACGAAUUGGCCAAAAUUUCUUUCUCAUUUGUGAUCUUUCAUCACAUUCAACUUUCCUUUGUAUAUAUUGUUGCUAAGCUUCAAAUUCUAAUCAGCUGGAGCUAAGCAAUGAAUUCUUCAUGCCAUCGAGCAUUCCUCGUGAGGAACAUCUUUUGUACUUUGGAAUGAGUGGUAUCGAGAAAUUAGUCAGGACGACUUUCUGAGGCUGAGGCGCCGCUUUUUUCUGUUCUCGUCUCUGAGACGUUGAGGUGGUAGACAUUUAUGAUAAGUGCAUUUCUUGUUGAGAAUAGCAUCGAUAAUCAUGUCUAGUCUAACAACUUGCUCAUUUAGGACUACCCUGGACAGUGCAACAAGUAAAAUACCAAAUCCUUGUACAAAAACAAGUUGUUGCCCUGUGGUGAGGAGUUGAAGCUAUGGCAUGAACUCGUCCAUGUGUGCGGUAUUUCUCCUUGUUGUUUCCAUCGUCUCUAGAAAUCGCUAAAAAGAUCAAAAACAAUAUCAAACCGUUGACACUAUGUGUCUACCAUCUCACACAAAUUCGAACCCAUAUCCAUCGCAGAUCUCCAAAAACAAACAAACAAGACGGAUCCAGUGUUGAACAGCAUAGCAACUAAUUCAAAUCAGCACAUGAACACAUCAUAUCAUCAGCACCAACACAAGAUUGUUUUUUUUUCUCUUUUCUUCAAACAAUAUCCUGAUUAAGGUUUAAAUAUUCUUGUGGCGUUGUAAAUACAUGUUGUGUGUCAGAGACAUAAUUCUUUUUCAAAUAAAAAAACAUAACUUUUUUUACCACAAAUUUUUCUAGGCUUAUGUGUGUGUAUCUUCCUUGUUUCAGUUCCAAGUGACAAGAGGCAAACUUGUCACGGUUGACUGAAUAGAACAGUAGCAAUCGACCUGCCCGGAGCUUCUAUUUUUUGUAGGUGAUUUUCUCUGUUAAGAGUGACUUCUUCUUUUUUGAGAGUUUUGUUAAGAGUGACAUGAAAUCUGCAUAUGGCGAUCGAGCACGCAUGCCGGCGAUCCCACACGGCGCACCGCAGCCACAAGCCGAUCGCCCCCACAAAAUCUGCCCGACGGCUCCCACCGGGAUGGGAUUCCCCGGUGCCAAUGGCGCGCGCCCACCUCACCCCCUCUUAUCCCCGCCUCACCCACUCGCGCCACGCCCCUUAUCCCCUCCUCUUACAAACCCACACAAACUAAUCAUCGCCCACCACCCUCCAACGAUCACCAACCAAAACCCCUCCACACGCCCGCCCGCGCGCGCCACGGACGCAGCAAUGGCCGCCCUCGCCGCCUCCAUCGCCACCUCCACGGCGUUCGCCGCGAAGCCGCGCCUGUCCCGCCCGCCGGCGCGCCUCUCCGUCUCCUGCUCCGCGUCCAGCGGCGACAACAACAACAGCACCGCCACCCCCUCGCUCUCCGCCUCCAUCAAGACCUUCUCGGCCGCGCUGGCGCUCUCCUCCGUGCUCCUCUCCUCCGCCGCCACCUCCCCGCCCCCCGCGGCUGCCGACAUCGCCGGCCUGACCCCGUGCAAGGAGUCCAAGGCCUUCGCCAAGCGGGAGAAGCAGUCGGUCAAGAAGCUCAACUCGUCGCUCAAGAAGUACGCGCCCGACUCCGCCCCGGCGCUCGCCAUCCAGGCCACCAUCGACAAGACCAAGCGCCGGUUCGAGAACUACGGCAAGUUCGGCCUGCUCUGCGGCUCCGACGGCCUGCCCCACCUCAUCGUCAGCGGCGACCAGCGGCACUGGGGCGAGUUCAUCACCCCCGGCGUGCUCUUCCUCUACAUCGCCGGCUGGAUCGGCUGGGUCGGACGCAGCUACCUCAUCGCCGUCAGCGGCGAGAAGAAGCCCGCCAUGAGGGAGAUCAUCAUCGACGUCGAGCUCGCCGCCAGGAUCAUCCCCAGGGGCUUCAUCUGGCCCGUCGCCGCAUACCGCGAGCUCAUCAACGGCGACCUCGUCGUCGACGACGCCGACAUCGGCUACUAAGAAGCUGCCAUGCGUGCGUGCGUGCGUGGUUGGCUAGUCGGUCCCAAGUCAGGUGAGCUCUGCAUCCAUGCCUGAAUGUGUUCUGCUCUGUCAUGCCAUGCCAUGGCUCAACUGAUUAACUUGUCUUGCGUUCUUGUUUGCUUUGGCAGAUGGGCAGCGGAGGAUGAGGGCUUGUGGUGUCGAUCUGUGUGGGCUUGGUGUAGGAGCUGAUAGGAUCAUGGAGAAAUGGAACCUCUCUUGUAUUUAAGAAACUGAACCCAAUCUUGUAUAACUAUUGUGUUCUCUCUUCACAUGUGUGUAUUUUACCAUUGUUCAAAUUGUUGAGAACGAUUUUAUUAUGCACAGCAUACUAUGAGUGCAAC